AGAGUUUGAUCAUGGCUCAGGAUGAACGCUGGCGGCGUGCCUAAUACAUGCAAGUCGAACGGUAGGGAGCAAUCUCUAUAGUGGCGAACGGGUGAGUAACGCGUUGGUAACCUGCCCCGGAGAGAGGGAUAACAGGCCGAAAGGCUUGCUAAUACCGCAUGGUCAGUAGAGGAAUAGCAGCUUUACUGUAAACGGAGAGGAUCGCAAGAUCGCCUCCGGCUCUGGGAGGGGCCUGCGACCCAUCAGCUAGUUGGUAAGGUAACGGCCUACCAAGGCGAUGACGGGUAGGGGACCUGAGAGGGUGGCCCCCCACAAUGGAACUGAAACACGGUCCAUACACCUACGGGUGGCAGCAGUAGGGAAUAUUGCAUAAUGGGCGAAAGCCUGAUGCAGCAACGCCGCGUGUGCGAUGAAGGCCUUCGGGUUGUAAAGCACUUUUGAUCGGGAAGAGGAAGGACGGUACCGGUCGAAUAAGCCUCGGCUAACUACGUGCCAGCAGCCGCGGUAAAACGUAGGAGGCGAGCGUUAUCCGGAUUUACUGGGUGUAAAGCGCGUGCAGGCGGUUGGCUAAGUUGGGUGUGAAAGCUCCUGGCUCAACUGGGAGAGGUCGCUCAAGACUGGCCGACUGGAGAGCAGUAAGGGAAGGUGGAAUUCCAGGUGUAGUGGUGAAAUGCGUAGAUAUCUGGAGGAACACCAGUGGCGAAAGCGGCCUUCUGGACUGCAUCUGACGCUCAGACGCGAAAGCUAGGGGAGCAAACGGGAUUAGAGACCCCGGUAGUCCUAGCUGUAAACGAUGUGAACUUGGCGCUGGUUGGGUAAAACCGAUCAGUGCCGUAGCAAACGCGAUAAGUUCACCACCUGAGGACUACGGCCGCAAGGUUAAAACUCAAAUGAAUUGACGG
rnacentral:rRNA from 1 species